rnacentral:rRNA from 1 species
AAUGAACGCUGGCGGCAUGCCUAACACAUGCAAGUCGAACGAAGGCUUCGGCCUUAGUGGCGCACGGGUGCGUAACGCGUGGGAAUCUGCCCCUUGGUUCGGAAUAACAGUUGGAAACGACUGCUAAUACCGGAUGAUGACGUAAGUCCAAAGAUUUAUCGCCGAGGGAUGAGCCCGCGUAAGAUUAGCUAGUUGGUGUGGUAAAGGCGCACCAAGGCGACGAUCUUUAGCUGGUCUGAGAGGAUGAUCAGCCACACUGGGACUGAGACACGGCCCAGACUCCUACGGGAGGCAGCAGUGGGGAAUAUUGGACAAUGGGCGAAAGCCUGAUCCAGCAAUGCCGCGUGAGUGAUGAAGGCCUUAGGGUUGUAAAGCUCUUUUACCCGGGAUGAUAAUGACAGUACC